rnacentral:rRNA from 1 species
GACGAACGCUGGCGGCGUGCUUAACACAUGCAAGUCGAGCGAGGCCCCUCCUUCGGGAGGGUGUCCUAGCGGCGAACGGGUGAGUAACACGUGGGCAACCUGCCCUCAGCUCUGGGAUAACUCCGGGAAACCGGGGCUAAUACCGGAUACGACCUCCACGGGCAUCUGCGGAGGUGGAAAGUUUUUCGGCUGAGGAUGGGCCCGCGGCCUAUCAGCUAGUUGGUGGGGUAGUGGCCCACCAAGGCGACGACGGGUAGCCGGCCUGAGAGGGCGACCGGCCACACUGGGCCUGAGACACGGCCCUGACUCCUACGGGAGGCAGCAGUGGGGAAUAUUGCGCAAUGGGCGAAAGCCUGACGCAGCGACGCCGCGUGAGGGACGAAGGCCUUCGGGUUGUAAACCUCUUUCAGCAGGGACGAAGCGAAAGUGACGGUACCUGCAGAAGAAGCACCGGCCAACUACGUG